rnacentral:misc_RNA from 1 species
AACAAGGUUUCCGUAGGUGAACCUGCGGAAGGAUCAUUACCGAGUGAGGGCCCUUUGGGUCCAACCUCCCACCCGUGUUUAUUUACCUCGUUGCUUCGGCGGGCCCGCCUUAACUGGCCGCCGGGGGGCUCACGCCCCCGGGCCCGCGCCCGCCGAAGACACCCCCGAACUCUGCCUGAAGAUUGUCGUCUGAGUGAAAAUAUAAAUUAUUUAAAACUUUCAACAACGGAUCUCUUGGUUCCGGCAUCGAUGAAGAACGCAGCGAAAUGCGAUACGUAAUGUGAAUUGCAAAUUCAGUGAAUCAUCGAGUCUUUGAACGCACAUUGCGCCCCCUGGUAUUCCGGGGGGCAUGCCUGUCCGAGCGUCAUUGCUGCCCUCAAGCCCGGCUUGUGUGUUGGGCCCCGUCCUCCGAUUCCGGGGGACGGGCCCGAAAGGCAGCGGCGGCACCGCGUCCGGUCCUCGAGCGUAUGGGGCUUUGUCACCCGCUCUGUAGGCCCGGCCGGCGCUUGCCGAUCAACCCAAAUUUUUAUCCAGGUUGACCUCGGAUCAGGUAGGGAUACCCGCUGAACCUAAGCAUAUCA